GGAAGACAGAAAUAUUUGUAAUUUCUUGAUUCGAACGGGUCUGGUGAGGACCGGAGGAAAUAAACUGGAGUAAUAUUGCAGGGAAGUAAUCCAGAAGGUGGCGGUAAUGCAAAACUUGGAUGGCUUGGAUAACUUGGAUUUGGAUCGCCGUUAAACCUCAAAGAAGAAGAAUACGACUCAACAACGCGCGCUCAAUACGUCAGUGGACAAGACAAACUUUAAGAGAAGUACUUUAGCAAAUGAGGACAUUAGGAUGGCCAGUCUGUUAGCCGUCAUCCAAAUCUACAAACACAUAGCAGUUUAACGACACGGGGUGUUUUACCAGAGACUGAAAUUUGCGUGGGAAUCGGACUACGCCACAAACAACCGUAAAUCUGUUUAGCUGCUGUAUCCGAGGAGCGAGGAAAGGACUUUUUCUUGAGAUGAAUUACUUACAGAAACAGAGUGUGAGAUCAUUCUCACAUGUGUCCAGUUCUGUGUCUGUGAAGAGUCACCAUUCAAAAGGUGGCAUGCCAAACUUCCAUGAGAAAAAAGCUUCUGUUAAAAGGAAAAGAUCAGACUCACAUAUGUUCAGCUCUGUGUAUGUGAAGAGU